UAAUUGACCUCGGAUCAGGUAGGGAUACCCGCUGAACUUAAGCAUAUCAAUAAGCGGAGGAAAAGAAACCAACAGGGAUUGCCCCAGUAACGGCGAGUGAAGCGGCACAGCCUCAAAAUAAAAA
rnacentral:rRNA from 1 species